GUGUGUCACAUCGACAAUCCCUGUUUGGAAAAUGGUCAGAAGGUUUGAUUUAGACCGGUAUUGCAUAUUUUAGGGUACAAUCGACCGGGAUUUUGACUUGAGGGUUCAUUCCGGCCAACCUUUACGAAUUCAGGGUUUAAAAAUAGACUUUUUUCUAAGGAUAAUAGAUCACCUUGUCGAAGCCCACACAACAACUGAUCUGUUAGCUAGCAAAAUGGAGGACAACUCCGUUUCAAAAAAAAAAAAUGGAGGACAACACUACUAUUUGGCAUUGAUAUUGGGGAGUGUUUUUUUUUAACAACACCACAAUAUCGGAAAGUAUUUUAAUCUUUACAGCCUGCUGAGUAUACCUUAUUGUACUUGCUCUAAUGCUUGGUAGGAAUAUAUUGAUGACUUCGUUCGAGCCCCUUUGGUUCCCACACGCGGCUCCUCGUUCACCGGCGUGCCGUUUGGGAUUCCGCAGCCCGUUCUCAUUGGGCUCACAAUAAAUCAGGCUUCGCUAUCCGCUGUUCAUAAAGGGCUCCCACCUUUCCCGUAUGGCAAUCACCCGUUCAACCGAGCAGAGCAAGGAGAAGCUCAAACAGCGAAGGCGAUGGUGAAGAUACUGGAGAUCGGAGGGGCGCGGCUCGACACCGAGGACGACGACGACUGCUGCGAGAUAGACCCCGCCGAGUUCGCCAGGAAGGUGAACCUCAAAGCAACACACGACGACGAUGUGGUCGUGGUUGCGGCCAAAGGCCCGGUACGGUUCUUUCUUACUAUCCCUUCCUCUCAUUAUCCUCCACAACUCCCAUACAUGUCUGGCCGGUUAAUUUUCUGUUGGAGUUCAGAUCAGUGAUUGUUCUGUUAACUCAGUAGCUGCAUAUAACAUGAAUCGGAAGUCGCCAAGGAAAUUGUUUGUUUUCUUGACCGUAUUCAUGAACCACGGGAACAUCUUCUCUUUUUCCUGUCAUGGCCUGUAGAUCAAAGUCAAGGUGGAAGUAGAUUGGUCAGAGCAUUCCGCUAAUGGCGGCCUGCAUGAACGCAUUGCUGGUGAUAAAUUGGAUAACCCCUAUGAGAUGAAGAAGAUGAACCAGCUAUCCAUCAGAUGGAGACUGUUGAGGCCAAGCCUGAUGUCAAGAGCAUCCCUGGCGAGCCACUGCUGGUAAUGUCAGAUACCGAAUCGCCCUUGGUGGAGGUCGGUGCUGACAUGUUGCAGGUGAAGCACGAACCAGAAGAUGACAACGGCGCCGAUGAGCACUUCGCUGAGACCGUCCCAGAGGUGCAGCUGUCGAAGAGCGUUUAUGACAUGUCGCCGGUGAAGUGCGAAACUGAAGAUGGCAUCAGUGGUGCCGAUGAACAUGAAGUCUCUGAGGAGGAAGUCAUCCCUGAGAUGCCGCCGGCGAAGCGCGAAUCUGAAUGCUUCGAGGAGGUUGUCAUUCCUGACAUUCUGCCCGGGAAGUGCGAGACUGAAGACCGUCCCGAUGCUGUGGAUGAACCCUUCGAAGAGGAAACCAUCCCUGGCAUGCCGCAUCUGAAAUGCGGGUCUGGAUGCUCCGAGGAGGUCGUCAUUCCUGACAUGUCGCUGAUAAAGCACGCCGGUGGCACGGCUGAACUCUCGGAGGAAACCAUCCCUGACAAGCUGCUGCCGAAGUCUGAAUCUGAAUACUUUGAGGAUGUCGUCGUUCCUGUCAUGUCGCCAAUAAAGCACGAACCUGAAGACGAUCAGUGUGUUGGAGAAGACGGUUAUGACCAUCUCCCAGAGAUGGAUAGGCUCAACCUUGAAAGAGGAGUUUUUGAUGAGGAAGACGGUGACUACGUUGUCGUAGUAGCAAAAGAGGCUCUCUAAACUGGCUUUCCCAACUUCUUGCCAUAUUACAUCUAUGUAUUAAGUGCUCUGAGUAUGCUUGCAAUAAGAAACGGUGUAUUAAGCUCCACCAAUUAGUACUACUAAGUACAAAUCAAUCAGACAUCGUGUGACAAUAACUGUUUAAUCUUUUAUGAUGUUGUUGUUGAAUUUUUUAUUGUGUUGAAUCCAUAUAAAUGUGGCAAAAUUUCUGAUAUGCUCCAUGAUGAUGAAUAACUAGGUGGCACUAAAAGAUUUUCCACAUCCAAGGCACCUGUGUGGAAAUUACCCGUUUGAUACAACUCCACACGAGAGCCGUUGCCGCAAGUGUUAUUGCUCUUUGUGUGAGGUGCCUGCCUCCAGUUGUCUAGAGUGGAAAGGAACAGAAGGCCACUGCCAUAGUACCAAGUAAACUCAGAACUAUUCUUCAUGCUUCAUGGGUCACAACAAAGAUCAGAUUGUAAGUUUCAUCCUAUUUUCAUUGU